GUUUGUAGAAAUGGCCCCUAAGGGGCAUGGUUCCCCAUAACCCCAGGUCUCUAGUUCACAGGCUGCUGUAGCAUAGGCUCACUUCUUCUCUCUCCACCUUAUCUUUAAGGCCACACAAGAGCAGAUGGCCCUCCCACCUCUUCUCAGUAGUGCCCUCUGAGUGGAAGUGAAGUAGAAACUUCUCGCUUGGCACUUUUUGGUUCUCAAGGGGUCGGCAGAGGCUUUCUGGUGUUAAGCAUGAAUCCACUGAGAAUCCUGAUGGUAUCAGUCUGAGAAGCCUCUGCUGUAUUAUGACCUUGCACUUUCGAGGGAGGUGGUGGAACUACUGAGCUAAAUCCCCGGCCCUACUUGAUACUACCUGCUCAUGAAAUUAAUAAGUAUCCUUUUUAUAUCUGGGCAGUACAGAGCCAAACCCAGUCUUCACUCUCUUGCAACUUAAUUUCUAGCAGGGAGACAAAUAAUAAGCGUAGAGAUGACCAUGUCCAGGUGUCAGCUGGGCCUAGUGUGAGGGAAAAGUAAAGCAGGGAAAAGGAAGAGAAAGGGCCAGGGUGCUACUCAGUGUAGGGUCAUCAGGAAAGGGCUUCAGAGAAGACAGCACGGAGCUGCCCCAGGAAGGAAGAGAGGGGGAGCCAAGAGGAUAUGGCCAAGGGCACCCCAGGCAGAGGGCACAGAAAGAGCUAAGGCCCGGAGCAGGAGUGGCCUUAGUUGUUGGGGGAAUAGCAAGGAGCCCAGUGUGGCUGGCAUGAGGAGGGCAGGAGGAGAGCGUUGAGAUGGGAAGUCAGGGAGGCAUCGUGUGGGGCCCUGAAGUCAGUGUAGGGACUUGGGCCUCCACUCUGAGUGAGACGAGAAGCCACUGCAGAGGCCUGGGGGUGCCAUGACCAGACUCCCACUUCCAAACACCCCCUGCCCCAUAGGAGAACAGCGGGUAGGGGUGAGGUUGCCCUAGGAGGCAGGGGGUGGAGCUGGUCAGCAGAGCCAUGGCUUAAGCCAGGGUGACGGUGAACUCCAGAUAUGUUGUAAAGGGUUUGCGGACAGAUUGGAUGUGGGCGUUGAACACUGAAUUGUGUCCUCCCCCCAAUACAUGUACCAUAACCCUAAUAGCACCAAAGAGUAUAAGUGCAUCUGGAGAUGGGAUCUUCAAAGAGGUCAUUAAGGUUAAAUGAGGGUCCUGAGGUGGGACGUACUCCAGCCUGCUUAGCGUCCUUGGAAAAAGAUAUUAG
ensembl:lncRNA